UGGUUUUUGCGGCUGUCUGACCAGGCAUUGCCGCGACGCUACCAUCUGCCGGAUUAUGGCUGAACGCCUCUAAGUCAGAAUCCGUGCCGGAACGCGGCGAUUUCGCCCCGCACGUCGUAGUUGGAUACGAAUAGGCCUUCGGGCCAUGCACCUCAGCAGGCUGGCGACGGCUCUUAGGGAGAAACCCUUGAGAGCUGGCUAGCGGAUUGUAAUGUCACCUCGCGCGGGGAUAGAUCCUCUGCAGACGACUGAAGUGACCAAGCGGGUCGUGUAAGCGGUCAAGUAGCCUUGUUGCUACGAGUCGCUGAGCGUCAGCCCGAC
rnacentral:rRNA from 1 species